UCUUCCUUUUAUUUUAAUUCACCAGUUUUUUAUACAUAAUUUUUUUCUGCAGAAAGUGGCAGAAAGUUUUAUGUGACGACUAGAAGUUUUGGCAAUUAUUCUUUAAACCAAUUUUUUCUUUAUGCGAAAAUAAAGAAAUGUGUGAUUGGCGAAGUAGUGAAGAAUUUCCGCUAUCAGGUCGGUCUUCUGGAUUAGAAACGGUUCGGACACUGAAAAAUGUUGAUAUUUUAAAAAAGUAUAAAUUGUUUACCAUUUGUCAUGGAUACACUUCGAGGUGGAGGCGCUGAAAAUGUUUUCGAUGCGUGCAUUUUAAUAUUUGUCCGCCUGAGUUGAACGCUCGUCAGAUCGUGAAUACUUAUAGUGGCAAGGGGCUG